GAGUUUGAUCCUGGCUCAGGAUGAACGCUGGCGGCGUGCCUAACACAUGCAAGUCGAACGGGGUCUUAGUACGGAAGUUUUCGGAUGGAAGGAUUAAGACUUAGUGGCGGACGGGUGAGUAACGCGUGGGUAACCUGCCCUGUACAGGGGGAUAACAGUUGGAAACGGCUGCUAAAACCGCAUAACAUGGAGAUACCGCAUGAUAUUUCCAUCAAAUAUUUAUAGGUACAGGAUGGGCCCGCGUCUGAUUAGCCAGUUGGCAGGGUAAUGGCCUACCAAAGCGACGAUCAGUAGCCGGCUUGAGAGAGUGACCGGCCACAUUGGGACUGAGACACGGCCCAAACUCCUACGGGAGGCAGCAGUGGGGGAUAUUGCACAAUGGGGGAAACCCUGAUGCAGCGACGCCGCGUGAGUGAAGAAGUAUUUCGGUAUGUAAAGCUCUA
rnacentral:rRNA from 1 species